rnacentral:rRNA from 1 species
GACGUAGGGCGCGAGCGUUGUCCGGAUUUAUUGGGCGUAAAGAGCUCGUAGGCGGCUUGUCGCGUCGACCGUGAAAACUUGGGGCUCAACCCCAAGCCUGCGGUCGAUACGGGCAGGCUCGAGUUCGGUAGGGGAGACUGGAAUUCCUGGUGUAGCGGUGAAAUGCGCAGAUAUCAGGAGGAACACCUAUGGCGAAGGCAGGUCUCUGGGCCGAUACUGACGCUGAUGAGCGAAAGCGUGGGGAGCGAACAGG